rnacentral:rRNA from 1 species
GACGAACGCUGGCGGCGUGCCUAAUACAUGCAAGUAGAACGCUGAAGGAGGAGCUUGCUUCUCUGGAUGAGUUGCGAACGGGUGAGUAACGCGUAGGUAACCUGCCUGGUAGCGGGGGAUAACUAUUGGAAACGAUAGCUAAUACCGCAUAACAGUAGAUGUUGCAUGACAUUUGCUUAAAAGGUGCAAUUGCAUCACUACCAGAUGGACCUGCGUUGUAUUAGCUAGUUGGUGGGGUAACGGCUCACCAAGGCGACGAUACAUAGCCGACCUGAGAGGGUGAUCGGCCACACUGGGACUGAGACACGGCCCAGACUCCUACGGGAGGCAGCAGUAGGGAAUCUUCGGCAAUGGACGGAAGUCUGACCGAGCAACGCCGCGUGAGUGAAGAAGGUUUUCGGAUCGUAAAGCUCUGUUGUAAGAGAAGAACGAGUGUGAGAGUGGAAAGUUCACACUGUGACGGUAUCUUACCAGAAAGGGACGGCUAACUACG